rnacentral:rRNA from 1 species
AUUGAACGCUGGCGGCAUGCUUUACACAUGCAAGUCGAACGGCAGCGCGGGCUUCGGCCUGGCGGCGAGUGGCGAACUGGUGAGUAAUACAUCGGAACGUGCCCAGUAGUGGGGGAUAGCUCGGCGAAAGCCGGAUUAAUACCGCAUACGACCUGAGGGUGAAAGCGGGGGAUCUUCGGACCUCGCGCUAUUGGAGCGUCCGAUGGCAGAUUAGCUAGUUGGUGGGGUAAAGGCCUACCAAGGCGACGAUCUGUAGCUGGUCUGAGAGGACGACCAGCCACACUGGGACUGAGACACGGCCCAGACUCCUACGGGAGGCAGCAGUGGGGAAUUUUGGACAAUGGGCGAAAGCCUGAUCCAGCAAUGCCGCGUGUGUGAUGAAGGCCUUCGGGUUGUAAAGCACUUUUGGCGGGAACGAAAAGGACUGUGCCAAUACCACGGUUCGAUGACGGUACCCGCAGAAUAAGCACCGGCUAACUACGUG